rnacentral:tRNA from 1 species
GGGAGUAUAGGUCAAGUGGUAGAGUACGUGCUUAACAUGCACAAGAUCCUGGGUUCAAUUCCCCAGUACCUCCA